UACCAGCACCCCGAGUGGUCGGGACGAUUAUUGGGCCUAAAGCAUCCGUAGCCGGUCCUACAAGUCUUCCGUUAAAUCCACCUGCUCAACAGAUGGGCUGCGGAAGAUACUAUAGGGCUAGGAGGCGGGAGAGGCAAGCGGUACUCAGUGGGUAGGGGUAAAAUCCUCUGAUCCAUUGAAGACCACCAGUGGCGAAGGCGGCUUGCCAGAACGCGCUCGACGGUGAGGGAUGAAAGCUGGGGGAGCAAAGCAGGAU
rnacentral:rRNA from 1 species